rnacentral:lncRNA from 1 species
CUUUUAUACAUGCUCAUCUGUGGCAUUACAAUUUGGACAUCAUUACUUUUCUAAUGUUGCUGCAAAGAUGCUGAUGAGACACAUGUUUCUGACUGCAAAAAGUAUUCAGCUUGUCUUUGAAAGACAAGAAAAUUGUGACCCAGCAGUUACUCAUGGACACCACAUCACAUUCUCGUUUGCACUGGGAACAUAUUCUGCUUCAUGGCCUGCGUGAUUUUCUUACCUCUGGGAUUUCAAAGAUUUUUUAUGUAUCUUGGUCAGAUCUGCAAGCAAGAAUUCUACAUGUUCCUUUCUCUAUGCAAUCUGCCAAUUCCUCACGCCCUGUAUUGGGAUAGGAUCAAGCUGUAUUAUAAGGAUUUACCCUUCAGUAACAAAGAAGUUCUCAGAAGAACCUCCAGGGACAAUGACUCCACCACCUCCCUGGGCAGCCUGUUCCUUUUCUUGACAACUCUUUCUGUGAAUAAAUUUUUCCUAAUACCCAACCUGAGAUAUUAUGCUUGGGAUUGCCCUAACCCAGGUGCAGGACUUUGCACUUGGCCUUAUUGAACCUCAUUAUGUUCUCAUCAGCCCACCUCUCAAUCCUGUCAAGGUUCCUCUGGAUGGCAUCCAUUCCCUCCAGUGUGUCAACUGCACCACUCAGCUUGGUGUUGUUGGCAAACUUGCUAGGCGUGCCCUCAGCCCCAUGGUCCAUGUUUCUAACAAAUAUGUUAAAUAAUACUGGUCCAAAUACUGUCCCCUGAAGAAUAUCAUUCAUCACUGGUUCCCACCUCUGUAUUGAGCCACUGAAUGUAACUCUUUGAGUGUGACCAUCUAGCCAAUUUGUUAUUCUUUACAGAACUCCUUCUCUCAGACCCAUUUCUCUCCAAUUCAGAAACAAGGAUGUUGUGCAGUAUAGUAUCAAAUUGUUUUGCAGAAGUUCAGGUAGAUGGAGGCUGUUAUGUUAACUGUAAAGAAUGGUACUUUAAAUUCAUGCAGCUGACAAUGAUCAUUAAAUUUAGCCACGUUUAUUUACCUGGUAUAAUACUUAACAUCCAAAAUCUUUUACAAACUUCCCUGUAUUACAGAAAAUGCCUUAACAAAUGUUCUGGUCAGAUAGAAUUUAACACACUAAUCUCAACUCUCAUAGUAGAAUUGCAGAUUUGAAGCAUUUAGAUUUUUUAUUCAGUCUGGUUUUAUGUGAUGAAUUUUGCCUGAGAAGGCAAAACCAGUACCUAUUUAUUUUUUUUUCUGCCAAAUAAAAUGUACUCAGUCAAUGGUAUGUCCA